CUCUAGGCAGCUUUUUGCAAAAUUUCUCCAAGUAGGUCAAUUUUCUUCUUUGUUCCCAUCAUCCUUAGCAGGCUUCUUUCUUCAUAGCAUGUUCCAGCUGUAAUCUCCAGGGCUUUCCCACAACCCACUGCAACAAAAGCCUACUCUCAUCAAUUGAGUUCAAUGAAGUUUCCAGACUCCUGGAGGAUUUAUAGACAUUUAAUCUUACCAAGACAAUGAGAAAACUGAGUCUAGGGAAGUGAGUUGAGUUGUUCAGGAGAUAAGGUUGGUUAGUGGAAGAGUCAGAUUCCAAUCCUUAUCUUCUGACUUGGAGGGUGUGAAUGGAGUUUGUCAGAAAAUUGAGAAGGGGAAGCCGAGUGGUAGCUGCAAAUUAACUCCUGGAAAGUCAUGC
rnacentral:lncRNA from 1 species